UACGGAGGGUGCAAGCGUUAUCCGGAUUUUACUGGGUUUUAAAGGGUGCGUAGGCGGGUUGAUAAGUCAGUGGUGAAAUACUAUCGCUUAACGAUGGAACUGCCGUUGAUACUAUCAAUCUUGAAUACAGUGGAGGCGGGCGGAAUGUGUCAUGUAGCGGUGAAAUGCUUUAGAUAUGACACAGAACACCUAUUGCGAAGGCAGCUCGCUACACUGUUAUUGACGCUGAUGCACGAAAGCGUGGGGAUCAAAACAGG
rnacentral:rRNA from 1 species